rnacentral:rRNA from 1 species
GGACCUUUCNACGGUUUCUGUGUCGUAGCUAACGCAUUAAGCGCCCCGCCUGGGGAGUACGGCCGCAAGGCUAAAACUCAAAGGAAUUGACGGGGGCCCGCACAAGCGGCGGAGCAUGCGGAUUAAUUCGAUGCAACGCGAAGAACCUUACCAAGGCUUGACAUACACCGGAAACGGCCAGAGAUGGUCGCCCCCUUGUGGUCGGUGUACAGGUGGUGCAUGGUUGUCGUCAGCUCGUGUCGUGAGAUGUUGGGUUAAGUCCCGCAACGAGCGCAACCCUCGUUCUAUGUUGCCAGCNGGUUAUGCCGGGGACUCAUAAGAGACUGCCGGGGUCAACUCGGAGGAAGGUGGGGAUGANNUNNAAUCAUCAUGCCCCUUAUGUCUUGGGCUUCACNCANGCUACAAUGGCCGGUACAAAGGGCUGCGAUACCNUAAGGUGGAGCGAAUCCCAAAAANCCGGUCUCNNUUCNGAUUGAGGUCNGCAACUCNAC